rnacentral:rRNA from 1 species
UACGUAGGUGGCAAGCGUUGUCCGGAAUUAUUGGGCGUAAAGCGCGCGCAGGCGGUCCUUUAAGUCUGAUGUGAAAGCCCACGGCUCAACCGUGGAGGGUCAUUGGAAACUGGGGGACUUGAGUGCAGGAGAGAAGAGUGGAAUUCCACGUGUAGCGGUGAAAUGCGUAGAGAUGUGGAGGAACACCAGUGGCGAAGGCGACUCUUUGGCCUGUAACUGACGCUGAGACGCGAAAGCGUGGGGAGCGAACCGG